ACAUCCAGAGAACUUAGCAGAGAUGCUUUGGUGCCUUCGGGAACUCUGAGACAGGUGCUGCAUGGCUGUCGUCAGCUCGUGUUGUGAAAUGUUGGGUUAAGUCCCGNAACGAGCGCAACCCUUAUCCUUUGUUGCCAGCGGUUCGGCCGGGAACUCAAAGGAGACUGCCGGUGAUAAACCGGAGGAAGGUGGGGAUGACGUCAAGUCAUCAUGGCCCUUACGGCCAGGGCUACACACGUGCUACAAUGGCGCAUACAAGAGAAGCGACCUCGCGAGAGCAAGCGGACCUCAUAAAGUGCGUCGUAGUCCGGAUUGGAGUCUGCAACUCGACUCCAUGAAGUCGGAAUCGCUAGUAAUCGUAGAUCAGAAUGCUACGGUGAAUACGUUCCCGGGCCUUGUACACACCGCCCGUCACACCAUGGGAGUGGGUUGCAAAAGAAGUAGGUAGCUUAACCUUCGGGAGGGCGCUUACCACUUUGUGAUUCAUGACUGGGGUGAAGUCGUAACAAGGUAAGCGUAGCGAG
rnacentral:rRNA from 1 species